AGUGAACGCUGGCGGUAGGCCUAACACAUGCCAGUCGAACGGCAGCACAGUAAGAGCUUGCUCUUACGGGUGGCGAGUGGCGGACGGGUGAGGAAUACAUCGGAAUCUACUUUUUCGUGGGGGAUAACGUAGGGAAACUUACGCUAAUACCGCAUACGACCUACGGGUGAAAGCAGGGGAUCUUCGGACCUUGCGCGAUUGAAUGAGCCGAUGUCGGAUUAGCUAGUUGGCGGGGUAAAGGCCCACCAAGGCGACGAUCCGUAGCUGGUCUGAGAGGGUGAUCAGCCACACUGGAACUGAGACACGGUCCAGACUCCUACGGGAGGCAGCAGUGGGGAAUAUUGGACAAUGGGCGCAAGCCUGAUCCAGCCAUACCGCGUGGGUGAAGAAGGCCUUCGGGUUGUAAAGCCCUUUUGUCGGGAAAGAAAAGCAGCAGGUUAAUACCCCGCUGUUCUGACGGUACCCAAAGAAUAAGCACCGGCUAACUUCGUG
rnacentral:rRNA from 1 species